rnacentral:rRNA from 1 species
UAGAGUUUGAUCCUGGCUCAGGAUGAACGCUAGCGGCAGGCUUAACACAUGCAAGUCGAGGGGUAGAGUUCUUCGGAGCUUGAGACCGGCGCACGGGUGCGUAACGCGUAUGCAAUCUGCCUUUCACAGAGGGAUAGCCCAGAGAAAUUUGGAUUAAUACCUCAUAGUAUUACGAUAAGGCAUCUUAUUGUAAUUAAAGCCACAGCGGUGAAAGAUGAGCAUGCGUCCCAUUAGUUAGUUGGUAAGGUAACGGCUUACCAAGACUUCGAUGGGUAGGGGUCCUGAGAGGGAGAUCCCCCACACUGGUACUGAGACACGGACCAGACUCCUACGGGAGGCAGCAGUGAGGAAUAUUGGUCAAUGGGCGCAAGCCUGAACCAGCCAUGCCGCGUGCAGGAUGACGGUCCUAUGGAUUGUAAACUGCUUUUGUACGAGAAGAAACAUCCCGACGUGUCGGGACUUGACGGUAUCGUAAGAAUAAGGAUCGGCUAACUCCGUGCCAGCAGCCGCGGUAAUACGGAGGAUCCAAGCGUUAUCCGGAAUCAUUGGGUUUAAAGGGUCCGUAGGCGGUCUUGUAAGUCAGUGGUGAAAGCCCGUCGCUCAACGACGGAACGGCCAUUGAUACUGCAGGACUUGAAUUACCAGGAAGUAACUAGAAUAUGUAGUGUAGCGGUGAAAUGCUUAGAGAUUACAUGGAAUACCAAUUGCGAAGGCAGGUUACUACUGGUUGAUUGACGCUGAUGGACGAAAGCGUGGGUAGCGAACAGGAUUAGAUACCCUGGUAGUCCACGCCGUAAACGAUGGAUACUAGCUGUUGGGGGCAACUUCAGUGGCUAAGCGAAAGUGAUAAGUAUCCCACCUGGGGGAGUACGAACGCAAGUUUGAAACUCAAAGGAAUUGACGGGGGCCCGCACAAGCGGUGGAGCAUGUGGUUUAAUUCGAUGAUACGCGAGGAACCUUACCAAGGCUCAAAUGCAGACUGACCGAUUUGGAAACAGAUCUUUCGCAAGACAGUUUACAAGGUGCUGCAUGGUUGUCGUCAGCUCGUGCCGUGAGGUGUCAGGUUAAGUCCUAUAACGAGCGCAACCCCUGUUGUUAGUUGCCAGCGAGUCAUGUCGGGAACUCUAACAAGACUGCCAGUGCAAACUGUAAGGAAGGUGGGGAUGACGUCAAAUCAUCACGGCCCUUACGCCUUGGGCUACACACGUGCUACAAUGGCCGGUACAGAGAGCAGCCACUGGGUGACCAGGAGCGAAUCUAUAAAGCCGGUCACAGUUCGGAUCGGAGUCUGCAACUCGACUCCGUGAAGCUGGAAUCGCUAGUAAUCGGAUAUCAGCCAUGAUCCGGUGAAUACGUUCCCGGGCCUUGUACACACCGCCCGUCAAGCCAUGGAAGCUGGGGGUGCCUGAAGUCGGUGACCGCAAGGAGCUGCCUAGGGUAAAACUGGUAACUAGGGCUAAGUCGUAACA